CCGGAAGUUCCGGCGAGUGUGUGUGUGUGUGUAUGUUGGUGCUUUUGGACAGAUGAAUGGACAAUAUGGAGGUGACACUGGACUCCAGGAUGCAGUGCAUCAAGAUCCUGUCCAGUUCUAAGUAGAAAUGGAUGGCAUGGUCACUCGAAAAACAGUUGACCGGAAGUUCCUGCGAAGGAUUGUGUGCUUUUGGACAAGUCACUGGAUAAAUAUGCAUGGAUAUGGAGCUUUUGCAAUGAUUACUGGAUAUAUAUACGGAGGUGUCAUCAUUCAAGACUCCAGAGCAUCGAAAACGUCUUCAGAGUGAACCUAUAAGAUCUUAGUAAAUCGUCGUGGGAGCUGCCGUCUUCAAGCUGUGGUGCUCAUCAUCAACAACAGUUCAAGGAGCUUCUUGACACAAUUAUAUGACACCUAAGAAGUGGCCUCACUCCUCAAUUCUACCUCGACUUUGUAACCUAGAAACCCGGUUACAGAGUGCAAGUUCCUUGACGUCACAACCCGAACUAGGCUAUCUAUCAUUUACGGAAUCCCACUGCUUUCAUAGAAUGCAGAUAUCUAAAAGUUUUAGGAACCCGUAAAUAUAACCCUAUUUGUCUGCCUCUAAUUCCUUACUAAAUUAUUAAAUUAAUAUUGUGGUAUUAUUAUUAUUGUGGUAAGAUAGAUCAUUUAAUAGACUAAAGAUUAAAUAUUUACAUAAGUUAAUAAUAAUAAGAUAGAUCAUAUUUAUAGAAGUUAAAGUAAUGUAUUACGAAUAUAUUGAAAGUUUUAAAAUAAACAAAACAAAUAUUACGCUUUUGAAAUAAAAACAAUACAAAAAUGGAAGCUAAACCAGUAAUAACUAUGAGAUAGAUCAUUUGAUAGACUAAAGAUUAAAUAUUUACUUAGGUUAAAAUAAUGUAUGAUGAAUUUUAAAAAUUGUAAAAUAAACAAAGCAAAUAUUACGCUUUUGAAAUAAACAAAUACAAAAAUGGAAACUAAACCAGUUUUAAAGUAAGUACAUUAUUUAUUUUUAUUUAAUUUUUAGUGAGGCAAGCUUAGGAUAUUUAAGAGAAGGGUGUUCCUGAGACACUUUCGAAUAGGAGGUCCAAAACCCAAGAGUCUUGUGCUGCAUAGAAUGUAUGAC